CCUUGGGGAGGUAACCCCCCGGGAACUGGGGCUAAUUCCCGAUAGGUGAAGACUCCUGGAAUGGAUUUUCGCCUAAAGGGCGCUCAGGGCAUGCUUCUGGGCGUUGCCCAAGGAUGGGGCCGCGGCCGAUCAGGUUGUUGGUGAGGUAACGGCUCACCAAGCCUUUAACCGGUACGGGCCGUGGGAGCGGUAGCCCGGAGAUGGGCACUGAGACAAGGGCCCAGGCCCUACGGGGCGCAGCAGUCGCGAAAACUUCGCAAUAAGCGAAAGCUUGACGGGGCCAUCCCGAGUGCCAUCUGCUGAGGAUGGCUUUUACCCAGUAUAGAUAGCUGGGAGAAUAAGGAGAGGGCAAGUCUGGUGUCAGCCGCCGCGGUAAUACCAGCUCUCCGAGUUGUAGGGAUGUUUAUUGGGCCUGAAGCAUCCGUAGCCGGCUGGACAAGUCCUCUGUUAAAUCCAGCGACCAAUCGUUGGUCUGCGGGGGAUACUGUCCGGCUAGGGGGCGGGAGAGGCCGUCGGUGUUCUUGGGGUAGGGGUGAAAUCCUAUAAUCCCAGGAGGACCACCAGUGGCGAAGGCUGUCGGCUAGAACGCGCCCGACGGUGAGGGAUGAAAGCUGGGGGAGCGAACCGGAUUAGAUACCCGGGUAGUCCCAGCUGUAAACGAUGCAGGCUAGGUGUUAGGGCGGCUACGUGCCGCUCUAGUGCCGCAGGGAAGCUGUUAAGCCUGCCGCCUGGGGAGUACGGCCGCAAGGCUGAAACUUAAAGGAAUUGGCGGGGGAGCAC
rnacentral:rRNA from 1 species